UAAGAAAAUCGAACGAAAAAAAGCCGACGAAAGAAGAUCAACGAAAAAAUCGCUUCCUCGUAACGUGCGAACGAGCGAAGCCUCCAGGGUGCCCUCGAGCGACGCCACACCAGAUCCCAUCGCCACCGCCCUCGCACUCGCAUCCCUUCGUCGCUGCCCUCGCACAUCAAGCCGCCGCUGAUCCCUGCGCUACGUCGAUGGGAGCCAUCGAUCGUCUUGCUACGAGGACGAUCCCGUUGAGGAGCCGCCGCCGAUCACGCCUAGGAUCCGAUGCCGAUCCCCUUCAGGAGCCGACGCCGAUCCCUUGAGCCAGCGUUGAUCCCCGUUGAGGAGCCGCCGACGAGAUCAUUGCGGAUAUAGAAAGGAGAUGGCCGAGGUAGCCGCAGAUGCGCAGACGCAGGUGGCCUCGGGGUAGCGGCGGCGCCUGCAAUCGGCGCCCUUUUCCAAGGGCCUGCUGCAGCUCCCUUCUUUCUGGAGUCACCCAAACAACCAACCAUCAUGCACCGUGCCCCGCGCUCCCGCCAUCGGAUUCCGUCCGCGUCUGCCACCAUGCGAUUGCCUUCCUCCCUCAGUGCCCUUAACUGAAGUUGGUUAUUCAUGCUGGCACGAAUUGGGCUGGCAAAAUGCUGACAGAGGAGCAGAAGACUAUGCAAGGAUGUAUGUGCCAAAAUUGACGGGCAAGUAAUGUUGACGGGUAAUUAACAAGGCGGCGGUGCUGCGCGAGGCGGUCAAGUUCGAGGUCGCGAGUUGCUGCGUCCACGGAUGUCCGUCGCUGCAUCUUCAUUCUCCUCACCUCCCCCGUCGACUGCAUCUUCAACCUCCAUCCGCCGCCGCCGUCCAUGGGAUGGUUAAUGGAAGGAGAAGCUUGUGGUGUGGCUCAGCCCGGUGGCUCUGAAACUCCACCAUAUAACGUAGGAUGAUCCUGCCUCCUUGAUGGAGAAUAUUCUGGCUUAUGAAGUUUGUGUCUGACUCACCAUUAAAUUGUUCAGUGUGCUCGCUUGUGGUUUCAUCCAAUCAGGAAUGUGAGUCAUGCUAUAGUUGGUAAAACAACAUGGGAGGAAGAUUAAUGUUGUUUAGGAUUUGGCACAUCUUCUUUUCUGAAAGGAUUUUAAUGUGCUGCAUUGAUAUGCCUUUUCUAUUUGAUAAAUUGAUAUGCAAAAUGCCCUUUUGGAAAUUGUGGUUUUCUUCUGUAUUUUUGUCCUAAUAUAGAAUGUUCUAUUGCUGGAUUGAAUUACUCUCUCAGCAUUUUUUUUGACAUAUUAUAAUGCUCAGUUUGUUUACAGGAUGUUGAAUGUUGUCCAAGGAAGGAAUCAGUGCCGAGGUAAUCAACCUUCGAUCAAUCAGGCCACUGUAUAGAGCUGCCAUAAAAGCAUAUGUUAGGAAACCAAAUAGAUUGGUGGUUCUAGAAGAAGGCUCCCCCCAGCAUCGUGUUGGUGCUGAGAUAUGGCUCUCUCUCUCUCUCUCUCUCUCUCUCUCUCUCUCUCUCUCCACACACAUCAUGUUAGGUUUGAGCAGGCCAACCCUUCUCCAAUUAUUCAUUCGAAUAUACAGAUUCUCCAAUUAUAAGAAAGAAGAAUUUGAUAAAUUAGAGAGAGAUAUGCUUUCAUAAAUUGCUCAUCCCUGAAGGUUACAAAUUCAAGUGUUGGGUUCGAAGGAUGAAGCAAAUCCCAACUCCCAAGUAACAUGUUAAUAUAUGUUGAUGCACAUUUGUUUUUACUUUGCUUUAGGUUCGCAUGCGUUGACAGAGAUUUCAUCAACGUCGCCUCCAUUUUGUUGGUGAACCUACCUUUCCCUCUAAGGUUUGUGUUUCCCCCUUUUGAUAGUAUUUUUUUAUUUUCUUGCUCAAGCCACAGAUUCUAUGCCUGCAUAUUGUUUACUUUAUCCUCGCUGCAGCGACCUUGCAUAUGGUCAUUGGGUGCUGAUCGCCUCCAUGUCUUUGGUGAGCCCCAUGGCUCUCUCGUUCUUUUGAUUUUGUUUAGUUUGUUAGAUUUAUGAAGAGCUCUUCCAUUCCAAAUUGAGAAACCUAUGUUGCUUUCCUAUGUUGGUCCAAAAGGCCAUUUCUUUGAUACAGUUUAUUAUCAGCAAAGUCUUUAGCCAAAACUGCAUUUGACUGGUUCAGUUUGUGCUGCAGAUAUUUCAUUGAUAAUUUUGUCUCUUUACGUGCCCAGCUACAUUAUGAAGAAGAAGAUUGCUGGUCGAAAAGGCCAUUUAUUUUAUUGAAGAAAUUGGCAAGGAUGUAUUUUCAGUACAUUAGGAUUUUUGGUAGUCUCAUGGUUCUGCUAGGAAGAUACCGUUGCUACCAGGUCAACAAUCCCCCCUUCAAUAAUAUUUGAUUUAUAUUUUUUUAUGCCAUUCAUCGAAUCAAUGUGGCUUACAAUGACCGCUCGUAUGUUUUGAUUGUAGUAUUUCUCUAUGCUAUUUCACUAUUUUGGACU